CUUGAUGAUCCAAAUCUCCAUAAUGAUUUCGAUUUCGAUUACGAAUCAAAUGCUUCAAAAGAUAUGGUCAUUCUGAUCUUCAUUAUAAUUUAUUUCGAUUCUGAUUGUAAAUCAAACAUAUCUUCCUCAUAUUAAGAACUAAGAGGAUGAUCGAUUGCAACUAGAAUUGUAAUCAUAAUGAAUUCGAAUGGAGUAUUGGAGUCGCCAUAUUUUUCGAAGCAUUCGGC
rnacentral:lncRNA from 1 species